UACAUCUCACUCCAUGCCUUGACCUGAUCGCCUGAUCAUCGAUACGUAAACGUUUGCCUACACACACCCUGAAUACAAUUUUCAACAUUGCAUCACGUCGGGAAAAAACGACACAGAACGACAGGAAGGGGUCAAUGGCCGAUACGCUUUUAAAUUAGCGUGGGAUUUUGUCCGAUCUUGGGGCAAAGUGGAAGAGCAAAAAAUGUGCAUCGCCCUAAAUCCCGGAAGAUUUUUGCGAUUUUUUUUGUGCAAAAUGAAGCAAGCUCAACUUUUGGU
rnacentral:sRNA from 1 species